CCUACGGGUGGCAGCAGUGAGGAAUAUUGGUCAAUGGACGCAAGUCUGAACCAGCCAUGCCGCGUGCAGGAAGACGGCUCUAUGAGUUGUAACCUGCUUUUUUACGAGGGUAAACGCAGAUACGCGUAUCUGUCUGAACGUAUCGUACGAAUAAGGAUCGGCUAACUACGUGCCAGCAGCCGCGGUAAUACGGAGGAUUCAAGCGUUAUCCGGAUUUAUUGGGUGUAAAGGGUGCGUAGGCGGGCGGAUAAGUUAGAGGUGAAAUCCCGAGGCUCAACCUCGGAAUUGCCUCUGAUACUGUUCGGCUAGAGAGUAGUAGCGGUAGGCGGAAUGUAUGGUGUAGCGGUGAAAUGCUUAGAGAUCAUACAGAACACCGAUUGCGAAGGCAGAUUACCAAGCUACUUCUGACGUUGAGGCACGAAAGCGUGGGGAGCAAACAGGAUUAGAUACCCUGGUAGUC
rnacentral:rRNA from 1 species